rnacentral:lncRNA from 1 species
UCCGGAGAGCGCGUGCUCCAGCGGCAGGAGCGAAGAGGAGGAUGAACAGGAUCGUGGAGGUUUUGGUGAUAAUGGUGAUGGCGGGGAGCGCGUGAAGCCGUUUCUCGUGGGAUUAACUGUCGUUGACAUGGAUUUAAUGGACGAUCAUAGUUGUUUUAGUUGUUACUUCUCCUGAGAGACGCAGACAAACAGAAAGGAGGGGGAGAGAUGGGGGACCGACAGCGGCGGACCGGGAGACUCGGGAACCUCACGACCAAGUCCCGGGUCUCCAAGGAGACCAAGCUCCGGUUGCGCGUGGUUUUCCUGGAUGACAGCGAGCGCACGUUCGAGGUGGAGUUAAUGAGGGACGUCCAGUGACCCCCCGACAGGGCACUAAACACCAGCUAUAAGACAGCGAACGCUAAAAAAAAACAAAAACGUGUCACUGCAGUAAGUAAACACCGCACAAACACCAGAGACAGGUUCAGCGCUCCAUGUGGGCACACUUUGAUUUAAGCCUGAAUUAAAUUUCAGACACAGGGUCUUCAAAGCAGAUAAACAAUAAGACAGUACUUUUACAUGUUUGUAGUGUCCUUUGAAUUUUUGUCUAAUGUGGUUAAAGUGACCUAUUCUUCUGAUCUGACUCCAUAUUUCUAUUCUUGGACUCUACUAGAAAAGCUUUGCAUGAUUCAGAGUUCAAAAUAAUCAUGACGACUUUCUUCUGAUUGGCUGCCCCUUAAAUACAAAAUACCUUAAUAACAAGUGAUUAAAAUUUUAAAAUAUUUGGUUAUAUAAGAUUGUGACAAGACUGAAUAAAUAUCAGUUUGUAGAAAAUAACAAAAGGGGUAAAAAAAAAAAAUGGGAAAACAGAGGAAAUAUAACUGUUAGUUUAAAGGACAGAAAUGGAGGUAAAAACAGGACAUAUCACAAAGAAUCACACAGUUUCAAAGUGAUUUAAUUUCUGGCUGGAGUCACAAAUGUCAUAUGGAAAUAGGGGGUCACACCGAUUAGGUUGGUGUGCAAAAAAGAAGAUGUAGCAGAAACUCUUAAACACUGUAAUUUAACAAAAAACAUUAAAGGAAAGAUGCACAGCUUAUAUACAGCUAUAUAUCUAAUCUGUUAUAAUCAGUUCAUCAUUUCCCCUUAAAUGGAGCCACAUUUGUAAGGGAAAUACAUUUGUGGGUUGAGCAGCAGAGUUGAGUAUGUGGGUUUUGUCCAUGAAAAACUUGCCAGCUCUUCUCUGGUAAGGCAAAACAAUUUAUUCUGCUUUUGAGUCGUGUUUAGUCCAAAGAAACAAGACAUAGCAACAGUUUACAGUCUAUUCAUUGAACAAAUGGACCUCAGUACCAUGUGGAAGAACCAUACA